CCUACGGGAGGCAGCAGUGGGGAAUAUUGCACAAUGGGGGAAACCCUGAUGCAGCGACACCGCGUGAGUGAAGAAGUCUUUCGGUAUGUAAAGCUCUAUCAGCAGGGAAGAAAAUGACGGUACCUGAUUAAGAAGCCCCGGCUAACGACGUGCCAGCAGCCGCUGACAAACGUAGGGGGCAAGCGUUAUCCGGAUUUACUGGGUGUAAAGGGAGCGUAGUCGGCAGCACAAGUCUGGUGUGAAAUGCCGGGGCUUAACCCCGGAACUGCUUUGGAAACUGUGCAGCUAGAGUGGAGGAGAGGUAAGUGGAAUUCCUAGUGUAGCGGUGAAAUGCGUAGAUAUUAGGAGGAACACCAGUGGCGAAGGCGGCUUACUGGACUGUAACUGACGUUGAGGCUCGAAAGCGUGGGGAGCAAACAGGAUUAGAUACCCUGGUAGUC
rnacentral:rRNA from 1 species